AGCGAACGCUGGCGGCAGGCCUAACACAUGCAAGUCGAACGAACUCUUCGGAGUUAGUGGCGGACGGGUGAGUAACACGUGGGAACGUGCCUUUUGGUUCGGAAUAACUCAGGGAAACUUGUGCUAAUACCGAAUGUGCCCUUCGGGGGAAAGAUUUAUCGCCAUUAGAGCGGCCCGCGUCUGAUUAGCUAGUUGGUGAGGUAACGGCUCACCAAGGCGACGAUCAAUAGCUGGUCUGAGAGGAUGACCAGCCACACUGGGACUGAGACACGGCCCAGACUCCUACGGGAGGCAGCAGUGGGGAAUCUUGCGCAAUGGGCGGAAGCCUGACGCAGCCAUGACGCGUGAAUGAUGAAGGUCUUAGGAUUGUAAAAUUCUUUCACCGGGGACGAUAAUGACGGUACCCGGAGAAGAAGCCCCGGCUAACUUCGUG
rnacentral:rRNA from 1 species